GGCGGGGCCCGCCGCUCAGUCACCGCCCUGUUGGUCCCAGCUCCGCCCGCUGCCUCGAAUCUAGCCGUUUACUUGGGCUCCCCCGGCCAAGGGCGCGGUGCUCCAGAGCGGGCAGUUGCAGACUGCGGGGUCAGACCGCGAGACAAGAGGACAGAUGAUUGGAUUGAAACGCAGCUUUGCAGGACAAGUGCCCCCCUCUCCCACGCCCAGGCCAGAGCAGUCACCCCUGGAGCAACUUGCUCUGCCCCAGUGAACGCCAGAGCGCGUCCCGGGCCUCCCACCCGCGCGCCAGCCUCACCCGGGCUGAGAACACCGCGGCCCGGCGAAGAAAACGAACUCCCCCGCGACUUCAGCGGCUAGGGUAAAAUACUUCUCAAAAGUCGCGGCCCAAGCAACUCAUAGCAAAUUUGCCGGGGUUUUCUUGGGAAGUCGCGAGGCCCCAACUUGUUUUAAAACAAAGUGCGAAGGAGGAAACAGCCCCAGUUCUGCCAACGUUUGCCACCUCCCGCUGCUUGAAGACUCACAGGAUGGUUUGUUCCAUUCCUCGACUUACCAAGUCAGAAGAGGUGGCUGGACAUAUGCACCAAACAUAUGCACCUCAUGUGCAGAGGGGGAACCAAUCCGGUCACCUUUCAGAAGGACGAAUGGAAGAGAGUCAGAAAGAGAUGCCUUUCGCUCAGAUUGGGGAACAAACAGGACCCCAGAAAGGGCCGCAUGUGGUUCAAAAGGCAUUCCUGGCCUCUCUCCACCAAUCGUGAACGCUCAGCCAACAGACUGGAGGAGAAAUGGGACGCUGGGGGACCCACCCCCGCCUUCCCCCUCCCACCCCCAGACUGCAGAUUUUUAAAUUGUGCAGACAUGCAGUAAUUCCUCAGAGUCAGCUGCUCCAAGCUGUAGGCGCCCAGUGUUCCCUGGGUUCCCACUCGACAUCACUAGCUCUGCCAGCUGCCCUCAACCCGGCGCCCCCAACCCACCAUCUGCUGACCACCACCUCAGAGAAGCGCUUAGCGAAACCACACAAUUCGAGGAUGGGUUCAAAGGAAUCUGUGGAAUGAGUGAAAGAUGCUUUCUUGAUCUCGUGGAAGUACCCUAUGGUGAUCUGUGGGUUUCCUAAUUAUACUUUGUUCAAUCAAAACCCACUGGGGGGCGGGGGGGGGGAGGAGCAAUGUUUACAGUAUCUUCAAAGAGGUGAAACCUGAACCUUAAAGGGUGGUGGCCCAGAGGAGAGGAUAGCCACCAAAGCAUAAGAUGAUUUUCCCUUGAAGGACUGGGGACCACUGGUCUCCAGCAUUUUCAUUUGGCUCAUGGAAGGCAAGGUAGCUGCAGAGCCCAUGCUUUGGUUCCUCUGUCCCUGAUCCCGUGGUUCUUUGGUUCCCCCAAGCCUGCCUCCUGUCCAGUAAAGGGAGGAUCCAAAGCUUUUGUCUACAUUGCUGCUAGCAAGAGGCUGGAAAAGGUAAUUUUUAUACACAAUUCAUCAUCUUUCACCUAAGGUCUAAGUUUAUACUUAAAAUGUUUACAUUUUAUCAGCACCUUAAGAAGAAUGAUCCCAGGUCUCUCCCAGCAGUUAGCUAUUUAAUCAUUCCAAAAUCACUAAGUUUAUCCCAAAAGCCCAUGCUUGUUUGCUUGCAAAGAAUCAUGUUCUGCAUCUCUAAGCCCUGCAGAAGGCAACUGUGCUGCAGGAGAAUCUAGUCAGGUUGUAGCACUGCAUGUCAGCAGGAGGGAAGGCACUGGUAGGGGUGGUCAGGAAGGGCCCCCCGUAACACCUGCAGGAGCUGGGGACGGAAAGGGGUAAGCCUCCAUUGUGGGCUGUAGAAUGCAUAUGCAGAGGAGCACAGGUUUGAGUCAGAUGUCUUGGUUCUCUGCCUGCUGAAGGAUGUGGGAAGUCAUCUAGUCUUUCAGUCCUGCUAUUGUCAUCUGUAAGGUCAUCCUCACUCAUAGGAUGACCAUGUGAAACAAAUUAAAUAAUAAACAGGAAUAUGUUGUAGGGACCAUAAAGCAUGCCUGUUCCCAGAAUAUUUACUCUUGAACAUUGACCACAGUUGAGCCAGGAAACAUGGUUAAUUUAUUUCAAAACACACACACACACACACACACAGUGAGAGAGAGAGAGAGCGCCCCUGUGUGUGGAUCCCCUUCCCCCAAUCUGUCCCCACCACGGUGGUACAUGCUUUGACCUAAUUGCCUUCUUCCCUCCACAGAUCCACUUCCUAAUCCAUCAACAUGUCCUUAGGAUGCAUGACAUGAUACCUACUCCCCUCUUAACUAAUCACGCCUAUGGGAAAGCCUCAAGGGAACCUCACAUUAAC
rnacentral:lncRNA from 1 species